rnacentral:rRNA from 1 species
GGACGAAAGCUGGCGGCGUGCCUAAUCCAUGCAAGUAGAACGCUGAAGGAGGAGCUUGCUUCUCUGGAUGAGUUGCGAACGGGUGAGUAACGCGUAGGUAACCUGCCUGGUAGCGGGGGAUAACUAUUGGAAACGAUAGCUAAUACCGCAUAAUAGUAGAUGUUGCAUGACAUUUGCUUAAAAGGUGCAAUUGCAUCACUACCAGAUGGACCUGCGUUGUAUUAGCUAGUUGGUGGGGUAACGGCUCACCAAGGCGACGAUACAUAGCCGACCUGAGAGGGUGAUCGGCCACACUGGGACUGAGACACGGCCCAGACUCCUACGGGAGGCAGCAGUAGGGAAUCUUCGGCAAUGGACGGAAGUCUGACCGAGCAACGCCGCGUGAGUGAAGAAGGUUUUCGGAUCGUAAAGCUCUGUUGUAAGAGAAGAACGAGUGUGAGAGUGGAAAGUUCACACUGUGACGGUAUCUUACCAGAAAGAGACGGCUAACUACGUG